GAUGAACGCUGGCGGCGUGCCUAAUACAUGCAAGUCGAGCGAACGGACGAGAAGCUUGCUUCUCUGAUGUUAGCGGCGGACGGGUGAGUAACACGUGGAUAACCUACCUAUAAGACUGGGAUAACUUCGGGAAACCGGAGCUAAUACCGGAUAAUAUUUUGAACCGCAUGGUUCAAAAGUGAAAGACGGUCUUGCUGCCACUUAUAGAUGGAUCCGCGCUGCAUUAGCUAGUUGGUAAGGUAACGGCUUACCAAGGCAACGAUGCAUAGCCGACCUGAGAGGGUGAUCGGCCACACUGGAACUGAGACACGGUCCAGACUCCUACGGGAGGCAGCAGUAGGGAAUCUUCCGCAAUGGGCGAAAGCCUGGCGGAGCAACGCCGCGUGAGUGAUGAAGGUCUUCGGAUCGUAAAACGCUGUUAUUAGGGAAGAACAUAUGUGUAAGUAACUGUGCACAUCUUGACGGUACCUAAUCAGAAAGCCACGGCUAACUACGU
rnacentral:rRNA from 1 species